rnacentral:rRNA from 1 species
UACGUAGGGUGCAAGCGUUAAUCGGAAUACUGGGCGUAAAGCGUGCGCAGGCGGUGAUGUAAGACAGAUGUGAAAUCCCCGGGCUCAACCUGGGAACUGCAUUUGUGACUGCAUCGCUGGAGUGCGGCAGAGGGGGGUGGAAUUCCGCGUGUAGCAGUGAAAUGCGUAGAGAUGCGGAGGAACACCGAUGGCGAAGGCAGCCCCCUGGGCCAAUACUGACGCUCAGGCACGAAAGCGUGGGGGAGCAAACAGG